rnacentral:rRNA from 1 species
AUUGAACGCUGGCGGCAGGCCUAACACAUGCAAGUCGAGCGGUUGAGGUAGCUUGCUACCGAUGCAGCGGCGGACGGGUGAGUAAUACAUGGGAAUCUGCCUGGUAGUGGGGGACAACGUUUCGAAAGGAACGCUAAUACCGCAUACGCCCUACGGGGGGAAAGGGGGGGAUCUUCGGACCUCUCGCUAUCAGAUGAGCCCAUGUCGGAUUAGCUUGUGGGUGAGGUAAAGGCUCACCAAGGCGACGAUCCGUAACUGGUCUGAGAGGAUGAUCAGUCACACUGGAACUGAGACACGGUCCAGACUCCUACGGGAGGCAGCAGUGGGGAAUAUUGGACAAUGGGCGCAAGCCUGAUCCAGCCAUGCCGCGUGUGUGAAGAAGGCCUUAGGGUUGUAAAGCACUUUCAGUGGGGAGAAAGGUUAUUCACCUAAUACGUGAGUAAAUUGAUGUUACCCACAGAAGAAGCACCGGCUAACUCCGUGCCAGCCGCCGCCGUAA